rnacentral:rRNA from 1 species
ACGGCGAGUGAAGCGGCAACAGCUCAAAUUUGAAAUCUGGCCCUCGGGUCCGAAUUGUAAUUUGUAGAGGAUGAUUUUGGUGCGGUAUCUUCCGAGUUCCUUGGAACAGGACGCCUUAGAGGGUGAGAGCCCCGUACGGUUGAAUGCCUAGCCUCUGUAAAUCUCCUUCGACGAGUCGAGUAGUUUGGGAAUGCUGCUCUAAAUGGGAGGUAAAUUUCUUCUAAAGCUAAAUAUUGGCCAGAGACCGAUAGCGCACAAGUAGAGUGAUCGAAAGAUGAAAAGCACUUUGAAAAGAGGGUUAAAUAGCACGUGAAAUUGUUGAAAGGGAAGGAUUUGUGACCAGACUUUUUCUGGGCGGAUCAUCCGGGGUUCUCUCCGGUGCACUUUGCCCAGUAAAGGCCAGCAUCGAUUUUCGGCGGCGGAUAAAAGCAGUGGGAAUGUGGCUCCCUACGGGGAGUGUUAUAGCCCAUUGUAUAAUACGCUGCUGGGGAUCGAGGUACGCGCUUCUGCAAGGAUGCUGGCGUAAUGGUUAUCAAUCACCCGUCUUGAAACACGGACCAAGGAGUCGAACAUUUAUGCGAGUGUUUGGGUGUUAAACCCUCACGCGUAAUGAAAGUGAACGGAGGUGAGAGCCCGUACGGGUGCAUCAUCGACCGAUCCUGAAGUUUUCGGAUGGAUUUGAGUAAGAGCAUAACUGUUCGGACCCGAAAGAUGGUGAACUAUGCGUGGAUAGGGUGAAGCCAGAGGAAACUCUGGUGGAGGCUCGCAGCGGUUCUGACGUGCAAUCGAUCGUCAAAUCUGCGCAU